CGAGAUGCCUCUCGGGCAGGGUGAAUAGGACCUUAGACAAGCUCUAUUCUUCCCGGUCAGAGAGGCAUUUCUGCGUCAUAACGCCCACUCAGCACCCAGCCCAAUCGGUGGAUCGAG
rnacentral:sRNA from 1 species